UACGGAGGGUGCGAGCGUUGUCCGGAAUCAUUGGGCGUAAAGGGCGCGUAGGUGGCCCGGUCAGUCCGUGGUGAAAGCUCGAUGCUCAACAUCGAGUCGGCCACGGAUACUGGUUCGCUCGAGCACUGUAGAGGCUAAUGGAAUUCCGGGUGUAGCGGUGGAAUGCGUAGAGAUCCGGAAGAACACCGGUGGCGAAGGCGGUUAGCUGGGCAGUUGCUGACACUGAGGCGCGACAGCGUGGGUAGCAAACAGG
rnacentral:rRNA from 1 species